AAAAGGACACAACAAAUAUAACGCCCAAAAAUCUGAGAGUGCUGAAGAGCAAAGAAAAAUCCAACGACCCCUGAAUCGUCUUCUUCACCUCUCACACCCAAAACCAAAAAACCUUAGAACAACCCUAAGAGCUCCCACCGACAUCUCUUCCCCAUUGAUCCGCCAACCUAAUUCACCUACACCAAACAACCCACCAGCGGCGGCCUCUACCAUCUCUAGCAUCCUAACCAUUCCCCCUCUCUUUGAGAAUUCAAUCUCCCAAUCAUCUUUUGAGAGAUAACAAGCGAAAGACAACCAGCCACACAAAGAAAUAUGGGAAUGAGCACAAUCUGUAGAUAGCAUAAACAAAAUUUGGACAGAAACUUUAGGUUCUUUAGGUUUCUAUCUUUUCUAAAUUUGGUUAAAAUUCUAGAAUUUCAAAAAAAUACAAAAGCAAAAAAUGAAAAUAUUCAUUCAUGUUUCUUCUUUUGGACUACCAUUCGAAAACCAUGAAGUUUGAUUAAGCUUGAGGUCAAUUUGAUUUUCUCCGAUUGGAUCGUCGUUCGAGGUCCAAGUUCGUGGGUUCCCGAUUCGCCUCACUACUGUCGUCUUCAUUCAGAUUUUCACCAUUUGUGAAGCUCUUUCAGAAGCUCUAUUUUUAAUAUUUUAAAGAAAGCUUGCUUAACGGGUUCUUUCUUGAUUUGUUCUUGUCUAUUUAAGUUUAUUUAAUUUGAAUCUUUUUCCGCUACAUGCCCUGUUUUACUUCUGUAAUUAAAUGUUUAUAAUGUUGACUCUGUUUGGUUUAGAUAUGUUGGGUUACAAUUUUUAGUUACCCUUAAGAGCUACUGCUUUGAAGUCUUCCUUAGGCAUAUAAUCUCUUAUAUGAAAUUUAAGUGUCAGUGAAGCAACUUGUGAGGCUUUACCUAAUAUGAAUUUCAUGUACUAGUGGAAGAAAGUUUAAGAAAAGAUUUAUAUGAUAAGAAAUCAAUUUUCCUGUCUUCAUUUAGUUUAGUAUUCUG
rnacentral:lncRNA from 1 species